GGAGAGAUGGCCGAGUGGUUGAUAGCUCCGGUCUUGAAAACCGGUAUAGUUCCUUGCGAACUAUCGAGGGUUCGAAUCCCUCUCUCUCCU
rnacentral:tRNA from 11 species